GAGGAAAAGAAACUAACAAGGAUUCCCCUAGUAGCGGCGAGCGAAGCGGGAAGAGCUCAAAUUUGUAAUCUGGCACCUUCGGUGUCCGAGUUGUAAUCUCGAGAAGUGUUUUCCGCGCUAGACCGCAUGUAAGUCUGUUGGAAUACAGCGUCAUAGGUGGUGACAACCCCGUACGUAAUGCGGAUGCCUAGUGCUUUGUGAUACACUUUCGAAGAGUCGAGUUGUUUGGGAAUGCAGCUCAAAUUGGGUGGUAAAUUCCAUCUAAAGCUAAAUAUUGGCGAGAGACCGAUAGCGAACAAGUACCGUGAGGGAAAGAUGAAAAGCACUUUGGAAAGAGAGUUAAAAGUACGUGAAAUUGUUGAAAGGGAAACGCUUGAAGUCAGACUUGCGUAUUGGAGUUCAGCCGCAAGGUGUAUUCUUCAGUUUGCAGGCCAGCAUCAGUUUUCGGGGGUACAAAAGGGUAAGGGGAAGGUGGCAGCUUCGGCUGUGUUAUAGCCUCUUACUGGAUGUAUCCUUGGGGACUGAGGACUGCAGCGCACUUUUUGCAAGUCCCUCGGGACUUUCUGCGCUUAGGAUGCUGGUGGAAUGGCUUUAAACG
rnacentral:rRNA from 1 species